AUCGUCCCAACGGUAAUACCGCUUAGUACGAGAGGAACCGCGGUUUCAGAUAAUUGGUUUUUGCGGCUGUCCGACCGGGCAGUGCCGCGACGCUACCAUCUGCUGGAUUAUGGCUGAACGCCUCUAAGUCAGAAUCCAUGCCGGAACGGGACGAUCCUCUCCGGCACGCCGUACGCGGAUGAGAAUAGGUACCGCCAGCACCUUGCACGGGCACGCCGCUGAAGAGGCAGCCCGACUUUGUAAUUUGACCGCGCGCCGGGAUGAAACCCUUGCAGACGACUGGGGAUGUCGGACCGGGUCGUGUAAGCAGUCGAGUAGCCUUGUUGUUACGAGCUGCUGAGCGUAAGCCCGCGUCCGCAGUUUU
rnacentral:ncRNA from 1 species